rnacentral:lncRNA from 1 species
CCACGGAGCGCACGGAGGAGAUCGUCGUCAUCCGCCAAACCAGAUCGGCUUCUUCUUCUUCUUCUUCUUCUUCAACUUCGCAGAAUCGUCGGCGGUCGUCUCUUCCUCUAGGUACGCGCGCCUCCUCAUCCAUUCCAUGCUCCUUCUACAGCCCUGCGAAUCCGCGGCCCCAAGUAGUAGAUCGUGGUAAAAUUUACUGGAGGGGAUUUUUUUGUUUUGCUCUGUUCGACGAACUGGCUGGGGGAUUUUAGGCCGUCGGAAGGGGGAUCGGCCACGGGUUUGGCCCCGCGGGAUCUGGUUGGUUGGCUGGUUGGUUGCCGUGAGAAAACCCUAGUUCGUCGUUGUGGCAGGGUAGGGGGCCCCCAAAUUAGCCCUUCAUGUGUGACAAGUCAUGCCCGAGGGCCGAGGGUUUUCGUCGGUUGGAUCGAUCGAUGCGGCUCUUCGUAGAUCGGUCAUGGGGUUAAUUAGCCAGUGUUGUUAUGGAAUUAGGUGUCAGGAUGCGUAAUAAGGCUAAAAUAUGGCGCUACUUGCACUUGGUUUGGUUCAGAGAACCCGAAAAUUCUCCCCGAUUGGUUAAUCAAUCAUGUAUGUGCGCCCUUCAUGUUUGAUUAGUACAUGCAUGUUUCACCUGUCCUGUAUGGAUAGAUUGCUGCUUGUUAGGCACGAUGGUGCAUGGACAUGGUUUGGUCACAUGGAAAUUGGGAUGGGAAUUGGGUAGGCAGGUCGGCACGAAUGGUUGGCUGUUGCUGCCCUGUUUAUUUUAGUCAGAGGAUCAUGUCUGAUGAGCGGCGGAGCCAGCUCGGCCGGUGAGACGGGGCAAAGUCCAAGACGCUCCUGCCCGCCGGUUGUUUGCCCAUGCAAAAUGAUGCUUGGCUCUUCAUUAAUUACUAAUGAUCAAAGAAGAAUGCAUGGCACAGCCCGGGCAGCUGCCCCGGCUAGCCGGGAGGUGGCUCCGCCACUGUGUCUGAUUGCUUGCACGCAGCACUCACUCAAGCAUAUGGUUCUUUUACCAAGUCAAAUGUUCUGAAAGGAGAACAAUUAGUUCUGCUCUAGCUGGCAUAAUAAACACAUCAAUGUGGUGGUGCUAUCGGCCCUCUAUACCGACAAGAACAUAUAUUAGCACCUGUUACAUACAGUACAUCAUGUGUUUAGUGGAAUUUCAUGUGCUUAAAGACAGCAAGAUUUCUGUCCUGUAAUUCGAGUACUAUGCUUGGGGGGACAGCAACAUUUCUCUAUAUAUCGUGUACUAACAUUUGUCUGAUCAUGAUAUGUGCAGUUAGAUCCUUCGAGAGCAAUGGGAGGAGGCAAUGAUGGUCAUGGGUACCCACCCGGUGGCCAGGGGGGAUACCCUCCGGCAGGGUACCCGCCGCAGCAGGGAGGUUACCCUCCACAGCAAGGAGGUUACCCUCCACAGCAAGGAUACCCGCCUGCACCUGGAGCUUACCCACCUGCACCUGGGGCAUACCCUCCUGCACCUGGGGCGUACCCUCCUGCACCUGGAGCGGGAGGCCCUGACGGGGAGAAGGGGCUCCUCUCCAACAUCAUGCAUGGUGUUGCCGGUGCUCAUGGUGGUGGUCAUGGCUACCCAUCUGGUGGCCACGGGUACCCCCCGCAGCAGCAUGGAUACCCUCAGCAAGGCUACC